rnacentral:rRNA from 1 species
GAUAAACGCUGGCGGCGUGCCUAAUGCAUGCAAGUCGAACGGCCGGUUUACCGGCAGUGGCAGACGGGUGAGUAACACGUAAGAACCUACCCUCUAGUGGGGGACAACUCCGAGAAAUCGGGGCUAAUACCGCAUAAGCUCCUUGGUUUUACUAGGGAGGAAAGCUCCGGCGCUAGAGGACGGGCUUGCGCCCGAUUAGCUAGUUGGUGAGGUAAUGGCCCACCAAGGCUUAGAUCGGUAGCUGGUCUGAGAGGACGACCAGCCACACUGGGACUGAGAUACGGCCCAGACUCCUACGGGUGGCUG